rnacentral:rRNA from 1 species
CCUACGGGUGGCAGCAGUGAGGAAUAUUGGUCAAUGGCCGGAAGGCUGAACCAGCCAAGUCGCGUGAGGGACGACUGCCCUAUGGGUUGUAAACCUCUUUUAUAAGGGAAGAAUAAAUGCUACGUGUAGCAUGAUGCCUGUACCUUAUGAAUAAGCAUCGGCUAACUCCGUGCCAGCAGCCGCGGUAAUACGGAGGAUGCGAGCGUUAUCGGGAUUUAUUGGGUUUUAAGGGUGCGUAGGCGGUUGUUAAAGUUAGUGGGAAAACGUCGGGGCUAAAGCUUGAAUUGCCAUUGAUACUGUAAGUCUCGAGUUCAGACGAGGUAGGCGGAAUAAGUAGAGUAGCGGUGAAAUGCUUAGAUAUAACGAAGAACACCGAUAGCGAAGGCAGCUUACCAGACUGCGACUGACGCUGAGGCACGAGAGCGUGGGUAGCGAACAGGAUUAGAUACCCCGGUAGUC